rnacentral:tRNA from 1 species
GUCCCCAUCGUCUAGCGGCCCAGGACACCGCCCUUUCAAGGCGGCAGCGCGGGUUCGAAUCCCGUUGGGGAUACCA